rnacentral:tRNA from 1 species
UGGAUAGCUCAGUCGGGUAGAGCACCGGUCCAUGAAACCGGGAGUCGCGGGUUCGAGUCCCGCUCCAACCA